AGGAAGCGAGAAGUCGACGCGCCGAAAGGCGUCCGGCCCUCCGCGAGCACCCGCGGGGGAUCGGGUUCCGGACCCGGUCCGAUCCCGUUCCCACCGAGGGGCUGUCCGCGAUCAUGGAGGUGUCCUCGGACGGCGUCGAAUCCUUCUCCAGUCCGCGACGCUACGGCUUGGAUGGUCCACCCGACCCGUCUUGAAACACGGACCAAGGAGUCUAACAUGCGCGCGAGUCGUUGGGUCGGACACGCUCCGCUAAACCCAUAGGCGCAAUGAAAGUGAAGGCCGCCGUCGGGCGGCCGAGGGAGGACGGGGCCGCUCGCGCGUUCCGGCGCGCGACGGUCUCCGCACCCCCGGGGCGUCUGAUCCCUCAUCGCGAGGGGAGGCGCACCCAGAGCGCACACGUUGGGACCCGAAAGAUGGUGAACUAUGCCUGGCCAGGACGAAGUCAGGGGAAACCCUGAUGGAGGUCCGUAGCGAUUCUGACGUGCAAAUCGAUCGUCGGAGCUGGGUAUAGGGGCGAAAGACUAAUCGAACCAUCUAGUAGCUGGUUCCCUCCGAAGUUUCCCUCAGGAUAGCUCGCGCUCGGAGGAGAGUCUCAUCCGGUAAAGCGAAUGAUUAGAGGCCUUGGGGCCGAAACGGCUUCAACCUAUUCUCAAACUUUAAAUGGGUGAGAACUCCGGCUUGCUCGACUUGUCGAAGCCGGAGACGGGGCUCCGGCCCCCGGGAUCGGAGUGCGUAGUGGGCCACUUUUGGUAAGCAGAACUGGCGCUGUGGGAUGAACCAAACGACGGGUUAAGGCGCCCGAAUCGACGCUCAUGGGAAACCAUGAAAGGUGUUGGUUGCUUAAGACAGCAGGACGGUGGCCAUGGAAGUCGGAAUCCGCUAAGGAGUGUGUAACAACUCACCUGCCGAAGCAACUAGCCCUGAAAAUGGAUGGCGCUGAAGCGUCGUGCCUAUACCCGGCCGUCGCGGCAGGGCGGACCCGCGAGGGUGCCGUUCGAUGCGGCGACGAGUAGGAGGGUCGCGGCGGCGCGCGCAGAAGGGUCUGGGCUCGAGCCUGCCUGGAGCCGCCGCCGGUGCAGAUCUUGGUGGUAGUAGCAAAUACUCCAGCGAGGCCCUGGAGGACUGAUGUGGAGAAGGGUUUCGUGUGAACAGCCGUUGCACACGAGUCAGUCGAUCCUAAGCCCUAGGAGAAAUCCGACGCCAACGGCGACGGGAAAAAUGAAAGAGAAAGAAACCCGUUGAUCGGGCGAAAGGGAAUCCGGUUCCUAUUCCGGAACCCGGCAGCGGAACCGCUGUUUGUCGGGCCCUCACAAGGGGUUCGUCAGGGUAACCUAAAAGGGCCCGGAGACGCCGUCGGGAGCCCCGGAAAGAGUUUUCUUUUCUGCAUGAGCGUUCGAGUUCCCUG
rnacentral:rRNA from 1 species